rnacentral:rRNA from 1 species
GACAGAGGGUGCAAACGUUGCUCGGAAUUACUGGGCGUAAAGCGCGUGUAGGCGGCUUUGCAAGUCGGGUGUGAAAGCCCUCAGCUCAACUGAGGAAGUGCGCCCGAAACUGCAGAGCUUGAGUGCCGGAGAGGGUGGCGGAAUUCCCCAAAGUAGAGGUGAAAUUCGUAGAUAUGGGGGAGGAACACCGGUGGCGAAGGCGGCCACCUGGACGGUAACUGACGCUGAGACGCGAAAGCGUGGGGAGCGAACAGG